UACGUAGGGGGCAAGCGUUGUCCGGAAUUACUGGGCGUAAAGGGCGCGUAGGCGGCCUGUUAAGUCGAACGUGAAAUCCCCGGGCUCAACCCGGGAACUGCGUCCGAUACUGGCAGGCUUGAAUUCGGGAGAGGGAUGUGGAAUUCCAGGUGUAGCGGUGAAAUGCGUAGAUAUCUGGAGGAACACCGGUGGCGAAGGCGGCAUCCUGGACCGAUAUUGACGCUGAUGCGCGAAAGCCAGGGGAGCAAACGGG
rnacentral:rRNA from 1 species